GUGAAAGCCCCGGGGCUCAACCUGGGAACGGCAUCCGGAACUGUCAAGCUAGAGUGCAGGAGACGAACGGUAGAAUUCCUGGUGUAGCGGUGAUAUGCGUAGCGAUCGGGAGGAAUACCAGUGGCGAAGGCGGCCUUCUGGACUGACACUGACACUGAGGUGCGAAAGCGUGGGUAGCAAACAGGAUUAGAUACCCUGGUAGUCCACGCCGUAAACGAUGUCGACCAGCCGUUGGGUGCCUAGCGCACUUUGUGGCGAAGUUAACGCGAUAAGUCGACCGCCUGGGGAGUACGGCCGCAAGGUUAAAACUCAAAUGAAUUGACGGGGGCCCGCACAAGCGGUGGAGCAUGUGGUUUAAUUCGAUGCAACGCGAAGAACCUUACCUACUCUUGACAUCCUGCGAAUUCGGUAGAGAUACCUUAGUGCCUUCGGGAACGCAGAGACAGGUGCUGCAUGGCUGUCGUCAGCUCGUGUUGUGAAAUGUUGGGUUAAGUCCCGUAACGAGCGCAACCCUUGUCCUUAUUUGCCAGCGCGUAAUGGCGGGAACUCUAAGGAGACUGCCGGUGACAAACCGGAGGAAGGUGGGGACGACGUCAAGUCAUCAUGGCCCUUACGAGUAGGGCUACACACGUGCUACAAUGGUCGGUACAAAGGGUUGCGAGCUCGCGAGAGUCAGCCAAUCCCGAAAAGCCGAUCUCAGUCCGGAUCGGAGUCUGCAACUCGACUCCGUGAAGUCGGAAUCGCUAGUAAUCGUAGAUCAGAAUGCUACGGUGAAUACGUUCCCGGG
rnacentral:rRNA from 1 species